rnacentral:rRNA from 1 species
GGGACGGGUAGAAACGCGUAGGAAUAUACCUUGAAGAGGGGGAUAACUUGGGGAAACUCAAGCUAAUACCGCAUAAGCUCUGAGGAGGAAAGCUGGGACCUUCGGGCCUGGCGCUUAAGAAUAGCCUGCGUAUGAUUAGCUAGUUGGUAGGGUAAAGGCCUACCAAGGCGACGAUCAGUAGCUGGUCUGAGAGGAUGAUCAGCCACGCUCGGCACGAGACACGGACCAGACUCUUACGUGAGACAGCACUGGAGAAUCUUGACCAAUCGGGGCCACCCUGAUCCAGCAUUGGAGAGUGUGUGAAGAAGGCGGGAGGGUUGUAAAACGUUUUCAAUGGGGAUGAUGAGUAUGUGUCUAAGAAUUGAUUAAUAGGUCGUUACCCGCAGAAGAAGCUCGGCCUAAUUCCGUGCCAGCAGCCGCGGUAAUACGGAGGGUGCAAGCGUUAAUCGGAAUUAGGGGCGUAAAGAGUGCGUAGGUCAUCGAUAAGUUAUCGGUUAAAUCCACGCGCUUAAUCCAGGCAGUUCUGCUGAGGGAGUUUAAGUCAAGUAUGGGAGAGGGUCGUGGAAUUUCCGUUGUAGUGGUGAAAUGAGUGGAGAUCGGAAGGAACACCAGUCGCGAAGGCGGCUACUCGGCA